GACACUUUUCGGAUGAUGCACCCGGAAUCAGGCUCCCUUCUCUCUGGUUCUGGGUGCAUCACCUGAAAACUGCA
rfam:Myotis lucifugus cont2.29721, whole genome shotgun sequence.